rnacentral:rRNA from 1 species
AUGGAUAGUCUUCUCCAUUGGGACUUUUCCCCUGGUUUGGUGACCGAAUCUCAGGUACGUGCCAAGUUCCAAUCUACGGUGCACUUCUCAUCGGCCAACCCCAGAUCGAAGGAAUUCUUCCUCGUGGUUUCAUUCUCCUUGGCAUCAUUCACGUUAACGGAAGAAUCUGUGGCCCUGGCUUUACAAUCAUGUAUUGGU